AGGCAACCUAUGGCACACGGUUGGUAAGCCCCCUGGCGAGCUGGGCUGGUUUGCUUAUCUGCCGUGUCUGCAGGUUCGGCCAGUUGCAGCUCCCACU